AAUUUUUUACAAUAAAAAAUGUAUUCUUAAAAAGUGUAACAAAUCAUAAUUUAUUCAAAAUCUAUUAAAUACCAUUAUAAGUAAUUGUUACUUCAUAUAUUGGGAUUCCACAUAUUUUACCUAUUUUUGGACCGGAAGUUACACGUAACACAAAAUGGACGACGGAAGACUUCCUCGUACGUCACGUAGGUGGAAAAAAUGUCAUAAUAUUAAUAUCUUACAUGUAAAAUGGUCAAGUUCAUAUAAUGUAACGUUUUUUAUAUUUGCAUUUGUUUGCAUCUGUAAAAGAAAAGACUAAAAAUAUCUGAAAUCUAGGCGUUUUAUUAGUCCCCUACCGGUUGAAAACCAGAUUCGAGGACUAAAGGAAUGGACGUUUCCAUCAUUCAUUUCGUCCGUCUGUCCGUCUGCAACUUCGUGUCCAGACAAUACUUAUUGUAAAGUAUUGACGUUCAUUUGCCGCCUUUCUUUACGUGACGUCUACCAUAUUACGUUACGUUUAUGACGUCACGUCCGUUGUAUUGAUAUGUAACGUUAGUGAUAUUAAAAGGUACGAACCUGACACAACGUGUAUUUUAUGCAGUCUUAUUCCCUUUCCGAUAUUGGUGCCGUAAACAAAUUUCAUAGAGAUGGAAACUUACAAGUCAAUCAGAGAAGGCCACCGCCGAAUUAUACGUCAGUAUUUACAACGCAUUGAAGCUGCAAAAGAAGAGCCGACACCGACGAUCUUCAAUACGAUAUUGAACAACAUCCAGAAGAAACAGGAGUGUGUGAGAGAGUCAGAUCAGAAGAUUCUAGAGCUACUGCAGCCAGAGGAGAUGGAGACAGAGAUGAUAGAGGCCGACGAAUAUCACCUAAACUUAGAGAUCCAGAUUAGCAUGUUCAAGGAAUACAGACGUUCGAAGGGCUUCGUUUCAGAGACAGAUAUUAUGCGACCUGAGCAGACGUUACCGGUAUUUCCCGCUAUACAGACAUCGCAACAGACUGUUUACUCGAGGUCAGCAGCCUUUCCUGUUAAAUUUCCUAGGUACGACCAAACUGGAGAGAACAUGAUAAUUUUAAAAUGGUUAUACGAAUAUCAGUGUUAAUAACAGUAGCAGUAGUCAAGUAAUAGAGUUAACUGAUAGAGCAGAUCCAACAUCUCAGACUUUAAGCGCAGAACCUCGAGUAACUGUCAACAAUUCUGGUGCAGAGAACAAUGCUGAUACUUCCAG
rnacentral:misc_RNA from 1 species